AUUGAACGCUGGCGGCAGGCUUAACACAUGCAAGUCGAGCGGAGACUUCGGUCUUAGCGGCGAACGGGUGAGUAACACCUAGGAAUCUGCCUAUUAGUGGGGGAUAACGUGUGGAAACGCACGCUAAUACCGCAUACGUCCUACGGGAGAAAGCAGGGGAUCUUCGGACCUUGCGCUAAUAGAUGAGCCUAGGCCGGAUUAGCUAGUUGGUGGGGUAAAGGCCUACCAAGGCGACGAUCUGUAGCUGGUCUGAGAGGAUGGCCAGCCACACUGGAACUGAGACACGGUCCAGACUCCUACGGGAGGCAGCAGUGGGGAAUAUUGGACAAUGGGGGCAACCCUGAUCCAGCCAUGCCGCGUGUGUGAAGAAGGCCUCGGUUGUAAGGCACUUAAGUACGAGGAGGAAAGUUUUAAGGUUAAGUUACCUAAACGAAUUAGACGUUAACUCGUCAGAAUAAGACACCGG
rnacentral:rRNA from 1 species